AUUGAACGCUGGCGGCAGGCCUAACACAUGCAAGUCGAGCGGAUGAAGGGAGCUUGCUCCUGGCUUCAGCGGCGGACGGGUGAGUAAUUCCUAGGAAUCUGCCUGGUAGUUGGGGAUAACGUCCGGAAACGGGCGCUAAUACCGCAUACGUCCUGAGGGAGAAAGUGGGGGAUCUUCGGACCUCACGCUAUCAGAUGAGCCUAGGUCGGAUUAGCUAGUUGGUGGGGUAAAGGCCUACCAAGGCGACGAUCCGUAACUGGUCUGAGAGGAUGAUCAGUCACACUGGAACUGAGACACGGUCCAGACUCCUACGGGAGGCAGCAGUGGGGAAUAUUGGACAAUGGGCGAAAGCCUGAUCCAGCCAUGCCGCGUGUGUGAAGAAGGUCUUCGGAUUGUAAAGCACUUUAAGUUGGGAGGAAGGGCAGUAAGUUAAUACCUUGCUGUUUUGACGUUACCAACAGAAUAAGCACCGGCUAACUUCGUG
rnacentral:rRNA from 1 species